rnacentral:lncRNA from 1 species
GUAUUGACUGUGACAGAGAUAAUGACCUCGCCUUCGGCUCAGUCAUUAUCACUAUCUUAGUCAAUACCACUGUCCUGUGGGCAGUCCAUAUAUCACGAUAAUGACCAGUUUUUCAAGAACUAUUAUGUAAUUAAUGACCAUUCACUUUUUUAUUUUACUUUGGAUUUUGGUAUUUUUGUUUAAAUCUUUUUUUUUAUACGCUGGUG